UGAUAGCUGUGAAACGGAGGUUGCUCUGAGCACAAAAGUGUCCGGAGGUUUUCCGCGGAGCGAAUGUCAAGGCCGGCUAA
rnacentral:ncRNA from 1 species